rnacentral:rRNA from 1 species
AUGUGAUCGUCUCUCGCAUAUCAAUAAGCGGAGGAAAAGAAACUAACAAGGAUUCCCCUAGUAACGGCGAGUGAAGCGGGAAGAGCUCAAAUUUGAAAUCUUAAAGGGUUUCCCUUUACGAAUUGUAGUUUAAAGAAGUGUUUUCUGUUGAGGUUUUGGUAAAAGUUCUUUGGAAUAGGACAUCAUAGAGGGUGAGAAUCCCGUAUUUGACCUUUACUUUCAACUUUGUGAUACACUUUCAAAGAGUCGGAUUGUUUGGGAAUGCAGUCCAAAAUGGGUGGUAAAUUUCAUCUAAAGCUAAAUAUUGCGAGAGACCGAUAGCGAACAAGUACCGUGAGGGAAAGAUGAAAAGAACUUUGAAAAGAGAGUUAAACAGUACGUGAAAUUGUCAAAAGGGAAGCGUUUGACACCAGUGUUGUUUUUCUGAAAAUCAAUUAAAGAACUGUUUAUGCUAAGUUGUUUAGACUUUAUCAGCUAACUGUUUAGUUUUGAGCUUUUCUUUAAUGCACUUUUCAGUUAACAAGUCAACAUCAAUUUCUUUUGCUGUAAAAAAGCUUGAGGAAGGUGGCUUGAGAUUCGUCUUAAGUGUUUAUAGCCUCUUGCCUAUGCAGUCGGAGAGAUUGAGGUCUGCAGCGUAGAUCCUUCGGGGCUAAAUGCAUUUGUGCUAAGUUAUAGCAUUUUAUAGACAACUUGUUGACUAUGAUUUGUCUUGUAGCUUACUCGCUUAUGUUAUUUUACCUACGCUUAGGAUGUUGAUCUACAGAGCGAGAGU